rnacentral:rRNA from 1 species
GUAGGGAAUAUUGGGCAAUAGAGGCAACUCUGACCCAGCCAUGCCGCGUGCAGGAUGACGGCCCUCUGGGUUGUAAACUGCUUUUAUACGGGAAGAAAAAAUACUACGUGUAGUAUACUGACGGUACCGUAAGAAUAAGGAUCGGCUAACUCCGUGCCAGCAGCCGCGGUAAUACGGAGGAUCCAAGCGUUGUCCGGAUUUAUUGGGUAUAAAGGGUGCGUAGGCGGAUCUUUAAGUCAGUAGUGAAAGCCUGCAGCUUAACUGUAGAAUUGCCAUUGAAACUGAAGAUCUUGAAUGUGGUUAAAGUAGGCGGAAUGUAUCAUGUAGCGGUGAAAUGCUUAGAUAUGAUACAGAACACCGAUAGCGAAGGCAGCUUGCUGAACCAUUAUUGACGCUGAGGCACGAAAGCGUGGGGAGCGAACAGGAUUAGAAACCCGUGUAGUCC